AUAUAAUUACUGUGCCUGAUAGACGUACGAACUUAAAGCACGCGGGUUUAAAGUUCGCGAACUCGGCUCUCGUCGCGUCGGUGACACACGAGAAUCGCUCACACUGGAUUAC